GCAUAGCUCAGUGGUAGAACAUCUGUUUUGCAUGCAGAAGGUUCCAGGUUCAAUCACUGGCAUCUGUA